GACGAACGCUGGCGGCGUGCUUAACACAUGCAAGUCGAACGGUGAAGCGCCUUCCUUUUUGGUGGGUGUGGAUGAGUGGCGAACGGGUGAGUAACACGUGAGUAACCUGCCCCCUUCUUCUGGAUAACCGCAUGAAAGUGUGGCUAAUACGGGAUAUUCUGGGUCUGUCGCAUGAUGGGUCUGGGAAAGAUAUUGUUUCUGUGGGGGAUGGGCUCGCGGCCUAUCAGCUUGUUGGUGGGGUGAUGGCCUACCAAGGCGGGGACGGGUAGCCGGCCUGAGAGGGUGGCCGGUCAGACUGGGACUGCGACACGGCCCAGACUCCUACGGGAGCCAGAAGUGGGGAAUAUUGCACAAUGGGCGAAAGCCUGAUGCAGCGACGCCGCGGGAGGGAUGGAGGCCUUCGGGUUGUGAACCUCUUUCGCCAGUGAAGCAGGCCUGCCUCGUUUGUGGGUGGGUUGACGGUAGCUGGAUAAGAAGCGCCGGCUAACUACGUG
rnacentral:rRNA from 1 species